rnacentral:rRNA from 1 species
GGCUCAGGAUGAACGCUAGCUACAGGCUUAACACAUGCAAGUCGAGGGGCAGCAUGGUCUUAGCUUGCUAAGGCCGAUGGCGACCGGCGCACGGGUGAGUAACACGUAUCCAACCUGCCGUCUACUCUUGGACAGCCUUCUGAAAGGAAGAUUAAUACAAGAUGGCAUCAUGAGUCCGCAUGUUCACAUGAUUAAAGGUAUUCCGGUAGACGAUGGGGAUGCGUUCCAUUAGAUAGUAGGCGGGGUAACGGCCCACCUAGUCUUCGAUGGAUAGGGGUUCUGAGAGGAAGGUCCCCCACAUUGGAACUGAGACACGGUCCAAACUCCUACGGGAGGCAGCAGUGAGGAAUAUUGGUCAAUGGGCGAGAGCCUGAACCAGCCAAGUAGCGUGAAGGAUGACUGCCCUAUGGGUUGUAAACUUCUUUUAUAAAGGAAUAAAGUCGGGUAUGGAUACCCGUUUGCAUGUACUUUAUGAAUAAGGAUCGGCUAACUCCGUGCCAGCAGCCGCGGUAAUACGGAGGAUCCGAGCGUUAUCCGGAUUUAUUGGGUUUAAAGGGAGCGUAGAUGGAUGUUUAAGUCAGUUGUGAAAGUUUGCGGCUCAACCGUAAAAUUGCAGUUGAUACUGGAUAUCUUGAGUGCAGUUGAGGUAGGCGGAAUUCGUGGUGUAGCGGUGAAAUGCUUAGAUAUCACGAAGAACUCCGAUUGCGAAGGCAGCCUGCUAAGCUGCAACUGACAUUGAGGCUCGAAAGUGUGGGUAUCAAACAGGAUUAGAUACCCUGGUAGUCCACACGGUAAACGAUGAAUACUCGCUGUUUGCGAUAUACAGCAAGCGGCCAAGCGAAAGCGUUAAGUAUUCCACCUGGGGAGUACGCCGGCAACGGUGAAACUCAAAGGAAUUGACGGGGGCCCGCACAAGCGGAGGAACAUGUGGUUUAAUUCGAUGAUACGCGAGGAACCUUACCCGGGCUUAAAUUGCAGAUGAAUUACGGUGAAAGCCGUAAGCCGCAAGGCAUCUGUGAAGGUGCUGCAUGGUUGUCGUCAGCUCGUGCCGUGAGGUGUCGGCUUAAGUGCCAUAACGAGCGCAACCCUUGUUGUCAGUUACUAACAGGUUCCGCUGAGGACUCUGACAAGACUGCCAUCGUAAGAUGUGAGGAAGGUGGGGAUGACGUCAAAUCAGCACGGCCCUUACGUCCGGGGCUACACACGUGUUACAAUGGGGGGUACAGAGGGCCGCUACCACGCGAGUGGAUGCCAAUCCCCAAAACCUCUCUCAGUUCGGACUGGAGUCUGCAACCCGACUCCACGAAGCUGGAUUCGCUAGUAAUCGCGCAUCAGCCACGGCGCGGUGAAUACGUUCCCGGGCCUUGUACACACCGCCCGUCAAGCCAUGGGAGCCGGGGGUACCUGAAGUGCGUAACCGCGAGGAGCGCCCUAGGGUAAAACUGGUG